rnacentral:lncRNA from 1 species
GGUAGGUUCCCCCUCUCUUACCCCCUUACCCACAGGUCCAUGUCGCCCCCCCCCCACCCUAAACCUGUCUCUGACCCUUCAUUCUCUCUAAACUCCAAAUGACAGAAAUCCAGUGAGGUAUCAAUUUGCUUUUUAAAUGGAAAAAGGUGAAAAUGAAGGUGUUCUUAUCUCUGACAAGGAGAUGGUGAGUGAGGGAGUAUUAGUAACAGGGGUGAACAUUUGUUCCACUGGUUCCUUUUGUUGGCAUCUCUUUAAACAGCAGCCUGAAUGUCACAGGAGUACUUGAAGCAUUUGCAAUUCCCCACAGUGCCAGCCUUUUUCCUGUCUCCCUGCACUCACCGUGAUCUCCCUCUGCUUGGAAUAUCCUUCCCAACUGGAAGCCUUUGUUUGCUCACCCAACUCCCUUUCUCUUAGGACACGAUGCAGUUGCUGGUCACUACCCUCUGGAAAGCCCCCUCGCCUAUCCAGGAGUCUGUACCUCCCCUUCACACUCCCUCAUGCUUUCUGCUUCUCACUUAGGUAACACCUACCAUAUUGGAUUUUCAUUGUUUAUUUUCAACUUGGCGCUGAACUCCUUGAAGGCUGAAUUUCUAGACCCUUUAAUAGGGUCUACGUGUUUAUGAGGUGAAUUACUGAAGACUCCACAUGUGCUUCUGAUAGAAAUUGAUAUACUUUAUUUCUUCCAUCAGUCUCCAGGCACAAAGGAAUCCUCUCUUCAGGUCGUUGGAGAUGUCCUCCAAGGAUCCUUGAGCAUUUCCCAAUUUGGGUUCCAUGGAACACCUGUGUCAGGUCAGAAGACUUUGGACAGGGCAGCCCCCCGAUGGCCCAGCGGUUUGGCACCACCUUCAGCCUGGGGUGUGAUUCUGGAGACCGGGGAUCGAGUCACACAUCAGGCUCCCUGCAUGGAGCCUGCUUCUCCCUCUGCCUGGGUCUCUGCCUCUCUGUCUCUCUCUGUCUGUCAUGAAUAAAUAAAAUAAUAAAAUCUUUAAAAAAAGA